UACGUAGGGGGCAAGCGUUGUCCGGAUUUAUUGGGCGUAAAGAGCGUGUAGGCGGCUAGAUAGGUCCGUUGUGAAAACUCGAGGCUCAACCUCGAGACGCCGGUGGAAACCAUCUAGCUAGAGUCCGGAAGAGGAGAGUGGAAUUCCUGGUGUAGCGGUGAAAUGCGCAGAUAUCAGGAAGAACACCGGUGGCGGAGGCGGCUCGCUGGGCCAGUUCUGACACUCAUCCGCGAAAGCGUGGGGAGCGAACCGG
rnacentral:rRNA from 1 species